CCCGUAACGAGCGCAACCCUUGUCCUUAGUUACCAGCACGUUAUGGUGGGCACUCUAAGGAGACUGCCGGUGACAAACCGGAGGAAGGUGGGGAUGACGUCAAGUCAUCAUGGCCCUUACGGCCUGGGCUACACACGUGCUACAAUGGUCGGUACAGAGGGUUGCCAAGCCGCGAGGUGGAGCUAAUCCCAUAAAACCGAUCGUAGUCCGGAUCGCAGUCUGCAACUCGACUGCGUGAAGUCGGAAUCGCUAGUAAUCGCGAAUC
rnacentral:rRNA from 1 species